CCUACGGGAGGCAGCAGUGGGGAAUAUUGCACAAUGGGGGAAACCCUGAUGCAGCGACGCCGCGUGAGCGAGGAAGUAUUUCGGUAUGUAAAGCUCUAUCAGCAGGGACGAAAAAAGACGGUACCUGACUAAGAAGCCCCGGCUAACUACGUGCCAGCAGCCGCGGUAAUACGUAGGGGGCAAGCGUUAUCCGGAUUUACUGGGUGUAAAGGGAGCGUAGACGGCAAGGCAAGCCAGAAGUGAAAGGGCAGGGCUCAACCCUGUACAUGCUUUUGAAACUGGGUGCCUUGAGUGGGCGAGAAGUACGCGGAAUGCGUGGUGUAGCGGUGAAAUGCAUAGAUAUCACGCAGAACUCCGAUUGCGAAGGCAGCGUACCGGCGCCCAACUGACGCUGAAGCACGAAGGCGUGGGUAUCGAACAGGAUUAGAUACCCCAGUAGUC
rnacentral:rRNA from 1 species